ensembl:lncRNA FAM74A4 family with sequence similarity 74 member A4
AAGCUGCCAUUGCGGAUUUUGCCAGCUUCAGCCAGUUUAGUCCUAAGAAGGAACUUCUGACCCCAGACAUCCUGUUUUCUAAAACUAAGCAGUUAAAGCUGAAUGGGAAUUUAGCUCUGUCACAUAGGCAUUUGUUGGGCAACAAAAGCAGGGUAGGGCUCCAGCUAAGCCACGUAGGCACUACGAUGGGCAACAGAAAGGUUGGUUUCUGGGCAAUUCAGAGAAACCAAGGACAGCUACCCCCAGAACUCAGAGUAGCCAACUGGGCUGCUCACAGGAGAUGCCUUAACUGAAAGGUGAUCAGACUCCACAGGAGACCCAGAGAAGAUGUGGAGGGAGCUCAGAGGCUGUCCUGGAGGAGACGUGGAGACAGCUCAGAGGCUGUCCCAGAGAAGACGUGGAAAGAGCUCAGAGGCUGUCCCAGAGAAGACGUGGAGAGCUCAGAGGAUGUCCCAGAGAAGACGUGGAGAGAGUUCAGAGGCUGUCCCGGAGAAGACGUGGAAAGAGCUCAGAAACUCAGAGACUGUCCCGGAGAAGACAUGGAAACAGCUCAGAGGCUGUCUGCAAGAAGACGUGCAGAGAGUUCAGAGGCUGUCCCGGAGAAGACAUGGAGAGAGCUCAAAGGCUGUCCACAAGAAGAUGUGGAGAGAGUUCAGAGGCUGUCGUUACUGCUGCACUUGGCUGUUUUUCUUUGGAUAAUUAUUGCAAUCAAUUUUAGUAAUUCAGGUGUUAAAUCACAGUCAAGCACCUAUUUACCUAGUGGUAAAAUCCUUAAGUAAGUCAUAUUUGGUUGGGAAGAUCAAAGAAAUCACCCAGUCUCCCACAUCCGAAAUUGUGCAGUCUGGACUGUCAGGAACAAAAGUGAAAGAGAGACGUCAUCAAGGCCGGGCGCGGUGGCUCAUGCCUGUAAUCCCAGCACUUUGGAAGGCCAAGGAGGGCGGAUCAUGAGGUCAGGAGUUCAAGACCAGCCUGGCCAAUAUGGUGAAACCCUGUCUGUCUCUACUAAAAAUAAAAAAAUUAGCCAGGCGUGGUGGCAGGCACCUGUAAUCCCAGCUACUUGGGAGGCUGAGGCAGAAGAAUCACUUGAACCUGAGAGGCAGAGGUUGCAAUAAGCCAAGAUUGUGCCAUUGCACUCCAGCCUGGGAGACAAAGCGAGACUCCAUCUCAAAAAAAAAAAAAAAAAAAAGAAUGACUAAAAUUAAGAAGAUUGAUGAUUCCAAAUAUUGGUAAAGAUGUAGAACAACUAGAACUCCCACAUAUUGCUGAUGAAAAUGAAGAAUAAUACAUUACUUUGGAAAAUACUUUGGUACUGAUUUACCAUAUGACCCCAAAAUCUCACUUGUAGAAAUUUAUACAGGAAAAAUGAAAACAUAUGCUCACAGAAAGCUUGUAUACACAUGCUUAUGGCAAUAAAUUUAUUUAUAGUUGCCUAUCAACAAGUGAUGAACAAAUAUAUUUUAGUAUCUUGAUACUACUUUCUAGCUAGAAAAGGAAUACUACUAAGCAAAAAUAGAGGAUGAAGUAGUAAUAUACAUAACAUAUAUGAAUUUAAAAACACCAUGCUGAUUGAAAGAAAACAAUUAUCAAAUACACAGUGUAAUAUUCUAUUCACAGAAAGUUUGAAAACAAAAAACUAUAGUCUCUGAAAGAAAACCAUUGGUUGCAGGAAGGUGGGGAUUCAUUGGCCACAAAAGGGACUGAGGAAACUUUUUAUGGGUAAUGGAAAUAUUUUAUAUCUUGAUGGUGGCACCAAUUAUACAACUGUAUGUACACAUUUGUCAAAAUUCUAAUCGUAUUAUACACAACAUGAGUGACUUUAACUGUCUAUAAAUUAUAUCUCAAUAAAAUUGGUCUUAAAAGAU